rnacentral:tRNA from 3 species
CCGUCGAUAGCUCAGUUGGUAGAGCGGUGGACUGUAGAUCCAUAGGUCGCUGGUUCGACUCCGGCUCGACGGA